CCUACGGGUGGCAGCAGUGGGGAAUAUUGGGCAAUGGGCGCAAGCCUGACCCAGCAACGCCGCGUGAAGGAAGAAGGCUUUCGGGUUGUAAACCUCUUUUCUCAGGGACGAAGAAAGUGACGGUACCUCAGGAAUAAGCCACGGCUAACUACGUGCCAGCAGCCGCGGUAAUACGUAGGUGGCAAGCGUUAUCCGGAUUUGUUGGGUGUAAAGGGCGUGUAGGCGGGAAAGCAAGUCAGAUGUGAACAUUCGGGGCGCAACCCAGGGACUGCCUUGGAAACUGUUUUUCUUGAGUGCGUGAGAGGUAAGCGGAAUGCGUGGUGUAGCGGUGAAAUGCAUAGAUAUCACGCAGAACACCGGUUGCGAAGGCAGCAUACCGGCGCUCAACUGACGCUGAUGCACGAAAGUGUGGGUAUCGAACAGGAUUAGAUACCCCUGUAGUC
rnacentral:rRNA from 1 species